rnacentral:sRNA from 1 species
CCGCUAUGAGAGUACACGCAGUGGGCGACGGAUGGAGCUGAGUACGGGGACCAUCCAGGCUAAUCACACGGGCACAGGAAUCGGAUAUAACAUCAUCCGGGUACCCAUGGCCAGCUGUGACUUCUCCAUCCGCACCUAUACCUAUGCAGAUACCCCUGAUGAUUUCCAGUUGCACAACUUCAGCCUCCCAGAGGAAGAUACCAAGCUCAAGAUACCCCUGAUUCACCGAGCCCUGCAGUUGGCCCGGCGUCCCGUUUCACUCCUUGCCAGCCCCUGGACAUCACCCACUUGGCUCAAGACCAAUGGAGCGGUGAAUGGGAAGGGGUCACUCAAGGGACAGCCCGGAGAUAUCUACCACCAGACCUGGGCCAGAUACUUUGUGAAGUUCCUAGAUGCCUAUGCUGAGCACAAGUUACAGUUCUGGGCAGUGACAGCUGAAAAUGAGCCUUCUGCUGGGCUGUUGAGUGGAUACCCCUUCCAGUGCCUGGGCUUCACCCCCGAACAUCAGCGAGACUUCAUUGCUCGUGACCUAGGUCCUACUCUCGCCAACAGUACUCACCACAAUGUCCGCCUACUCAUGCUGGAUGACCAACGCUUGCUGCUGCCCCACUGGGCAAAAGUGGUACUGACAGACCCAGAAGCAGCUAAGUAUGUUCAUGGCAUUGCUGUACAUUGGUACCUGGACUUCCUGGCUCC